GAGCGUGGGCAGCUCAUUUGCUCUGAAGAGAAGCAGACGCAGCUUCCUCUCCGUGUGGAGCUCUGCGCCAGGAGUGACCUGUUCUUUGGAGGUACAAACCACCUUAAAGAUGAGUAGCUCAGAGACCACAGGAAAAGGUGGAAAACACAGGCUUUUCUGGCUGACUGUAAUCACCUCUUUGUCAAACGACUUCAUCCAGGGUUGACCGUGAACUCUGCCGACCAGCCAGCCAAGGGCAGUGUGGUGCCUGGGCUCAGUGAGGUCAGGCCUGACCCCGUGUCCACGGCGACUGCUUUGCCCUGUGCGAGAACCAACAGGCCUGUCUUUAAAGAUAUUAAUGUAUUUACUCAUUUUUGCUAAAACAAUGCAUUUUAUUAUACUUUGCUAGUGUAUAAAAUGCAGAAGCAAAACAGAAGCCACGCAGAAACCCACUGCUCCAAUAACUUCGUCGCCAUUUUAUUUUGUGUUCUAUGUUUGUGUGAUCUCCCUGGUCUGGAAUGGAAAUCUGUCGUAUAAACUUGUCUCCUGUUUUCACUUUGCGACAUAGUCUUCUUGCCUUCCCGGGUUAUUGAAAAUGCUUCUGCACCGUAUUUUAAAUGGCCCUGUGUGUGUACGGCCAUUGUGCGGGCAUCAUUCAGUGACUUCACCAACUCCCGACUGUGGGGCUUCUGGGUUACUUCCCGUUUCCCCACAACGUGGGAAACAGAGACGGGGAACAUCAUAGUGCUGGCAGACACACCGACUGCCUUUCUUUUCAAGGACGUUGUGCGGCGAACGGCUUGGAAGGUGGCAGCUUCCUCAGGAGCAAAGGACGGCUGUGCCGGGGCGGCAGGAGGAAUGCGGCUCCUUGAGGGCUGGCGCCCUUUGCAGGUGGGUCAGUCGCUCCAGGUGGGACAGACAUCGGCUGCACAAGGACCACGGCAAAUCUGCCCCCAGGACGCUUCCAAAGAGGGCAGUGGGGUCACUCAGUGCCCGUGAACGCUCAGGGUCACUCAACGUCUGUGAACGCUCAGGCACCAUGCUGAGUAGCCACCAGGUCAGCAGCCCCGGGUGCGGCCCCCAGACAGGAAGGGUGGGCUCCUGCUUUAGCCUGGCAUUGUCUUUGCUUCUGUUCUUCCUUCUGGUGACUUCCACCUUGGAACCUGGGAGCUGGAACGGUGCACACCCCAGUGUUGUCAGAAACAUCCUCCAAAGCCUCCAUACACUGCUCCCCUUGGAAGGACAGGAAGAGGCUCUAUCUCCGACUCCCUGAGGGAUCUCACCCCUGCUGGGCAGGUUAAAGCUCUAAGCAGAGAAACAAGAAUUCCAACGUGACGGGAGAAAGAAGAGUGUCCGUAUGGUCCUGCGGGCAGAGAGCAUCUUCUUGCAUAUAACAGAAAAACUGGCACAAAAGAAAAGAACCAUGAGUACGACAGCAUCAAUAUGAUGGGCGUGUAGAGAAGCCUCGAGACACGAGUAGCAGAGUGAGACCGACUGUUCGUAGGAAGGGGCUGGCACAGUGGGUGAAUCCAAUAGCACUUCACAGGUGCGAGAAGACAAUUCCUCCGCUGUGGGGAGAACACACAGCUGUGAAGAAAAUGGCCAAAGAAAUAUGAGCAAAACUUACAAAAGCAGAAAUGCAAAUUACCAAGAAGCAUUUAAAAGCUGCACAAUCUCACAACAGAUCAGGGAACUGCAAUGGAAAACAGUCUGAUUUUUUUCCCAUUAGAUUAGAAGAAAUGAAAACGUUUAAUGUCAAACAUUAGAGGAAAUUGGUGCAUAAAUGGUUUUUUAAAAAGUCAGAAUUCGUCAUCUCAAAAUAAAUUCAUCAAAUUGAUUACAUUAAAAUUGCACUGACUCUGUGAUGCAUCAGUUUCUUUUCUCAGCAUUUACCCUAGGGAAGAAUGGACGAUGAGCAGGGGAUGAUGAGCAGGGAAGCAGCUGAAACAUUGGCAAGGCAGAGACCACGGCAGAGGCCACGUCAGAGACCACAGUGGAGGCCAUGUCAGAGACCAUGGCAGACGUCAUGACAGAGGUCAUGCCAGAGAUCCCCUGGGAGCAGAGGGAGUGCCCACCCGCAGGACGUGGGGGAGCAAGGCUGCAGCUGUGGGGAGCACUUGGGCACAUCACAGCGUGGGCAUGGCAGACGAAGACAUGCAGGCCACACGCAGGAAGGCACAAACGCACCGGUCACAGUGUCAGGGGAGCACUGGGUGGUGUCACAAGGGAUGUGAGCUUUUGUCUGUUGUGUGUCUGUAUGUGUGUUUUAACAGUAAGAUUGGGUUCGGGCAAAAUCUAAGGGAAUAAAAAGCAGGGGAGUGGCUGUGUGUGAAUCUGGAGCACAGGUGGCCAUGCAGUGACAUUAAAAUUAGGUCAAAGGAAAGACUAGAGCCAGGGGCGAAGGCGGGAGCGUGGUAGGAAGUGGGGACGGCCUGGCCAAGGCCCCGCCAGACCACAAAGCUCAGGCCCAGACCGCAGAAGGCCGAUAAGAGCGUUCCGGAAAUCAGCUCUGUCUCGGAAAGAGCCAGGCCCAUGGGCUCCUGGCCGUGGGCAACCAAGGCUGAGUCAAAGCCACGUUCUCAAGAGAAUCCAGUGCAAUUAUGCAGAGACUCAUUUAAAAUGACAAGUACUUUUUAAAAGUCACUCUCUGAAAAUGACAUUCAAACCAAUUAUCAUUAAGGGAAGAUGUAAGUUAGCUUUGUUUAAAAAAAAAAGAAGGUGGAGAAGAAUAAAAAUCUGUUUUUAGAUACUUUGUAUGUUGCAGUUUAGAAAUACUCCUGCUGAAUAAAACCUACAGGAAAUGGAAGCAGAGGCGUGUGCAGCCAGCUCAGGAGGGAGGAGGUGAGCUUUGCUUUGCCUGAGUGCUGGUGAGAUUUUGCCACCG
rnacentral:lncRNA from 1 species